rnacentral:rRNA from 1 species
UACGUAGGGGGCAAGCGUUGUCCGGAAUCAUUGGGCGUAAAGAGCGUGUAGGCGGUCCGUUAAGUCGACUGUGAAAGUCCAAGGCUCAACCUUGGGAUGCCGGUCGAUACUGCCGGACUAGAGUUCGGAAGAGGCGAGUGGAAUUCCCGGUGUAGCGGUGAAAUGCGCAGAUAUCGGGAGGAACACCUAUGGCGAAGGCAGCUCGCUGGGACGUUACUGACGCUGGAGACGCGAAAGCGUGGGGAGCAAACAGG